AGUGAACGCUGGCGGUAGGCCUAACACAUGCAAGUCGAACGGCAGCACAGUAAGAGCUUGCUCUUACGGGUGGCGAGUGGCGGACGGGUGAGGAAUACAUCGGAAUCUACUUUUUCGUGGGGGAUAACGUAGGGAAACUUACGCUAAUACCGCAUACGACCUACGGGUGAAAGCAGGGGAUCUUCGGACCUUGCGCGAUUGAAUGAGCCGAUGUCGGAUUAGCUAGUUGGCGGGGUAAAGGCCCACCAAGGCGACGAUCCGUAGCUGGUCUGAGAGGAUGAUCAGCCACACUGGAACUGAGACACGGUCCAGACUCCUACGGGAGGCAGCAGUGGGGAAUAUUGGACAAUGGGCGCAAGCCUGAUCCAGCCAUACCGCGUGGGUGAAGAAGGCCUUCGGGUUGUAAAGCCCUUUUGUUGGGAAAGAAAAGCAGCAGGUUAAUACCACGCUGUUCUGACGGUACCCAAAGAAUAAGCACCGGCCAACUUCGUG
rnacentral:rRNA from 1 species